UGAAGACCGCCGCCUCCUCCCACGGCCCGCACCGUCGAGUGUCCGGAGCUGGACGGGAGAAGCUGCCACAGAGGCAUGGCCUUAUUUCCUGCGAGUCGCCUUUAAUUCAAACCUAGACAGACGCACGCCCUGCCCGGCCCUCCUCAGACCCGAGAGCUGCUCUGUGAGGGGACGCGCCUCUCCUCAUUGAAGAGAAUUCGCUGCCACGCGUUUUGCACAGUAGAGAGGCAACUCUACCACGUGGACAAAGGCAACAACUUCUGACCCCUGUGGAUAGCUUUGGCUUCGUGCACCGGGGAGACAAGAAACUGCCCACGGCCUCCAGUCCUCAGUGGCCCCCACCCAACAGCCUCCUCUUCAUCCACGCAAUGGGGCUUCAGGUCAGACGAGUCGGACUCCUUUGGUCCCUACAGGGGUAAUUCUAAGGACAGUAGGUUCUGGAAACCUUUUUCCUGCUGCGUUCUAAGGUAAUUAAUUAAACACAUUCCAGGCUUUCACACUGUCUGAGGAAGGGAGUCCGGGGCAGCUGUCAUUUUGGGUCAGAGUUCACACUGAGUGUUCCUAGCAGAGGAUUUGGGACAAAGCAAUAUAGCUCUUCCUGUAAAUCAGUGAUUCUCCAACACAAGCUGAAUUAGAAGCAUCAUAAGGGUGUUUGUUUUAGGACAUAGAUACUUGCAUUCUCAUCCCAGAGUUUCUAGUUCAGGGGACCUGGAAUGGGGCUGAGAGCUUGCAUUCCUGCCAAGUUCCAAGGGGAUAUGGGUGCUUCUGGGCAGGAUCUCAUUCUGGAGAACCUCUGCUCGAGCUGAAAGGGGACACAUGAUUAUCAAGUUUUCCUUUUUUUGUUUUUUUGAGACAG
rnacentral:lncRNA from 1 species